GAUGAAGAACGUAGUGAAAUGCGAUACGUAAUGUGAAUUGCAGAAUUCAGUGAAUCAUCGAAUCUUUGAACGCAUAUUGCGCUCUUUGGUAUUCCGAAGAGCAUGCUUGUUUGAGUAUCAGUAAACACCUCAAAAGAUUUUCAUUUUUGAAAUGAUUUUGGACUUGAGCAAUCCCAACACCAGUCUUCACGGAUCGGCGGUGGGUUGCUUGAAAUGCAGGUGCAGCUGGACAUUCUCCUGAGCUAAAAGCAUAUCUAUUUAGUCCCGUCAAACGGAUUAUUACUUUUGCUGCAGCUAACAUAAAGGGAGUUUGACCAUUUUGGCUGACUGAUGCAGGAUUUCACAAGGGUCGGUAAAACGAUUUUUGUAAAACUCGAUCUCAAAUCAAGUAAGACUACCCGCUGAACUUAAGCAUAUCAAUAAGCGGAGGA
rnacentral:misc_RNA from 1 species